GUGCUUGCUUUGGCAGCACAUAUACUAAAAAUUAGAAUGAUACAGGAAGAUUAGCAUGGCCCCUGUGCA
rnacentral:snRNA from 1 species